rnacentral:lncRNA from 1 species
AAAAAUUAUUCUGAGGGUUGUGGAAGCUGGUUUUCACAAUAUCCAAUAUUUCAGGUUCCACAUAAAAAUACCAGUGAGUCACCCGAAUCUUGCUCUUUCUGAAAACCUGGAAUGACAAAUCCACAAAGGAUUUUACAUGUGUUCACCACAGCAUCUCUUCUUUACAGGCACAUUAACAGAAGAAUGCAUGAAGCAACAAGGGGUUUUCAAGCACAGGGGCUUCAUAUAGCCCCCUAAUUGGGAUCCAGGAGAUACAUUCCAUCACAAACAAAUUUAGAGAGCCAUAAAAUGUGUUGCCUCCAGAAGUAAUAUGUUUCUGAUCUUUGGAAAUAUCCUUGAUGAGGAUAUUGGAGAGAAGAUGUCACUGCCAGAUGAACGGUUAGAUCGAAUACACAAGUAUCACUGAGCAUGUUCCAGGGACUGCAUCGUGUGUCAGUUUAAUACAUCAAAUUGCUGUUAAAUUUGAAAAUAAUGAUGGUAUAAGACACAAUUGCAUGGAGAAGAACAGUGGCCAUUUUUUUUAAUGUUAAAUUUAUUGCAGUACACUGCUCUAAACAUCUCAAAGCAAA